rnacentral:rRNA from 1 species
AUUGAACGCUGGCGGAAUGCUUUACACAUGCAAGUCGAACGGUAACAGGUCUUCGGAUGCUGACGAGUGGCGAACGGGUGAGUAAUACAUCGGAACGUGCCCGAUCGUGGGGGAUAACGAAGCGAAAGCUUUGCUAAUACCGCAUAAGAUCUAAGGAUGAAAGCAGGGGACCGCAAGGCCUUGCGCGAACGGAGCGGCCGAUGGCAGAUUAGGUAGUUGGUGGGAUAAAAGCUUACCAAGCCGACGAUCUGUAGCUGGUCUGAGAGGACGACCAGCCACACUGGGACUGAGACACGGCCCAGACUCCUACGGGAGGCAGCAGUGGGGAAUUUUGGACAAUGGGCGAAAGCCUGAUCCAGCCAUGCCGCGUGCAGGAUGAAGGCCUUCGGGUUGUAAACUGCUUUUGUACGGAACGAAAAGACUCUUUCUAAUAAAGAGGGUCCAUGACGGUACCGUAAGAAUAAGCACCGGCUAACUACGUGCCAGCAGCCGCCGUAAUAC